rnacentral:rRNA from 1 species
UACGUAGGGGGCGAGCGUUGUCCGGAUUUAUUGGGCGUAAAGAGCUCGUAGGCGGCUUGGCAAGUCGGGUGUGAAACCUCCAGGCUCAACCUGGAGACGCCACUCGAUACUGCUAUGGCUAGAGUCCGGUAGGGGACCACGGAAUUCCUGGUGUAGCGGUGAAAUGCGCAGAUAUCAGGAGGAACACCGGUGGCGAAGGCGGUGGUCUGGGCCGGCACUGACGCUGAGGAGCGAAAGCGUGGGGAGCAAACAGG